rnacentral:rRNA from 1 species
UACAGAGGUCUCAAGCGUUGUUCGGAUUCAUUGGGCGUAAAGGGUGCGUAGGUGGCGUCGUAAGUGGGGUGUGAAAUCCCGGGGCUUAACCCCGGGACUGCAUUCCAUACUGCGGUGCUUGAGGACUGGAGAGGAGACUGGAAUUUACGGUGUAGCAGUGAAAUGCGUAGAGAUCGUAAGGAAGACCAGUGGCGAAGGCGGGUCUCUGGACAGUUCCUGACGCUGAGGCGCGAAGGCCAGGGGAGCAAACGGG